ensembl:lncRNA CARMN cardiac mesoderm enhancer-associated non-coding RNA
GUGGCCAGGGAGCCGCAGGCAAGGGACUAAGGGGAGGGGGGCUCAGUGCCAGCUGCUUAAAAAUGCCCCUGUGGCAGCGAGGGGCACCAGAGGCUGGGUCUAAUUAGUUGAGAAGCAGUGACACCCCCAACCACUCCCCAAACAGGCUGGCUCCCGUCUCCAGGCCCCAAGGAGCCACACCUGGACCAGACCCCAGGAAAGCCAAAGAUGGAGACUAUGGUACACUCUUCACAGCCAAGGGCAGGGGACAGAGGAGAGGCGGUGCCCAGGCAGGAUGCAACUAUCUCCAAGAGAUAGUUAGAGGAUGGCAGCCUAUCUUGAGUUCUGGCUGCUCUGCCCAGGAGGUCCCUUUGAAUGGCCAGAGAUGGUCUCCAAUGCUGUUGGCCUCCUGCAGAAGAAAGAGCCCAAGGCUGGGAAUGGAAACCCUUGGUUCUAUUCCUGGCUGUGCCCUAACUCUUCAUAUGACCUUCAACGCGACCUUGAACAUGCAGCUUCCUCUGGCCUCAGUGUGUCCAGCGAGAGGCUAGACCCGGCCAGGCCUGGUGGCUCACUCCUAUAAUCCCAGCACUUUGGGAGGCCAAGGCAGGCGGAUCAUGAGGUCAGGAGUUUGAGACGAGCCUGACCAACUUGGUGAAACCCCCUCCACUAAAAAUACAAAAAAUUAGCC